GAUUAAAUGGCUGAAAUUUAGGCAAUAAAUUGUAAAUUUAUUUAUGAGAAAUAUCUCUUUAAUCA
rnacentral:tRNA from 1 species